UCGAUUUCUCCUUCCGUCCUCUCUUUCAAACUGGUUUGUUCUUCCCCAACUGAUCUAUUUCUUUUCAAUUAAGUAUAGAUCUGUACAUGUAAUCCAUGAGGGAUCACUUUGCUAAAUUUCUUAUUCGAUGCGCUCUGUGUCUGAAGACUAUUUCUUGCCCUAGGUCGAUCUUCUCCUUCCGUCCUCUAUCUGAAAUUGGUUUGGUCUUCCCCAAUCGAUCUAUUUCUUUUCAAUUGAAGUCGUAGCCUUAGAUUUUCUCUUUGUGAAGGUGAGGUCUUGAAGAGCCCCCCAACAGCAGCAGCUGGAAACGAUCUUUCCUAACUUCCUUUGCUCUCCUAUCGACGAGUCCUCUAACACUCUCAGCCGUCUUCAACAUUAAUCCCACCGCCGGUAAUUUUCACUCCUCAAUUCCCUUAUUUCCCAAUUAAUGAACCCUAACUGCUUAUACAUUCACUAUAUACACACAUAUACACAUAUAAUUAACAUGAAUGCUUCAGACACACAAAACUUGAGUGUUUGCUUUUUGUGGGUUUUGUUGAUUGAUCUUAGUAGUAUAUAAUUUGCAGUUUAUUGGCUUCUUCUUCGUCUAAUUGGGUGAAUGUCUAAUUUAAUUCAAUUGAGAGGUAGCAAAGUCCGUCCAUCAACAGACACUCCCUGCAACAGGUCCGUCAUCUUAUCACAACGUUUAGUUGAACACAUUUUCUCUACAAGGACUACCAGAGCGACUAGAAGUUCAGUGUCUCUACUUAUUCUUCUACUAGUGUUUUAGAUGGAUAAGUCUUGGAUUCAUCAUCACACUAGGGGUAGUCGAACCUAUUUUGAUGGCAUAGAAAACUUCAUUAAGGUGGCUAGUCGUCAUUUACAGACAGGCGGUUUUACCCGAUGUCCAUGUCGUCGUUUCAAAAACAAGGAAUAUCUUGAAAUUAAACAAGUUAAGCAACAUCUCUUGACUGAAAGAAAGUUAAGAAAGGCAAGAAAGGCAAAACGAAGAAGAUGAGGAAGUUGAAAGUCCUGAGGAGGGUCCUGCUAUUCGCAUGUACAAGGACACGCAUUUUAGGGAAGAAACUGGAUGGGUAAAUGAGAUAGCUAAGCAGAACUACCAAGAAAUGAAAGAGAAGUUUUCACAAGUUUCUCACAAUUCUGAUGGUACUAGUCCUAUCAUAAAUGAUGUUGAGAUAGUGGAAAACCAAUUAGGUAUUCAGAAAGGGAUAUCGUCGUGGGUUCGGAAAUGGUUUUGUCGCUCCAAGCCAUCAACGUGCAUCCUCAUCUUUUGAAGAGGCUUCUAGAAAAAGGGUGAAAAAUGUUGAAGAAAAAAAUGCACAACUUACGGAGAAAGUUACAAGUUUGGAGGAGAAGUUGGAUACAAUUCAGAAACUACUUGAGCAGCAACAACACCUCCUUGAGCAGCAACAACAGCACCAACAGCCGCCACCACCACGGUUCCACCAAUAUCAACAUUCUCCAUCACAUUUCCAACAGCAGCAUGCCUUGCCAAGCUGGUAUCAGCAGCCGCCAACAAUCACCUGAAUGAACAAUAAAGACAAUUAUUUUGGUAGAUAUAUUUUGGAGCUUUUUGAUGGCUAGCUAGCUGAUUUCUAACUAUUUUGGUACGUGUAUUUUUUGGCCUGCAUUUUCAUGAUUGCAUUCAGUUUAAAAUGAUGUUUUAAUUUUUGAGGAUGUUUGUAACCAUUUGAUGUUAAAGCAGCUAGUACAUACUUUUAGUUCUUGUUUACAAAACUGGAGAAUUUGUAGUUUCAUCAUGAGAUUAAGAGCUCGUUUGUUGGCACCAUAUUGUGGUGAUAAUCAGUUUU